rnacentral:rRNA from 1 species
AACGAACGCUGGCGGCGUGCUUAACACAUGCAAGUCGAGCGGGAAAGUUUCCUUCGGGAAGCGAGUACAGCGGCAGACGGGUGAGUACAACGUAGGUAACCUACCCUCGAGACCGGGAUAACCUGUCGAAAGACGGGCUAAUACCGGAUAAGACCGCAAGGGCUGCGGCCUUUGAGGUAAAAGAUGGCCUCUGCUUGCAAGCUAUCACUUGGGGGAUGGGCCUGCGCGCCAUUAGCAGUUGGUGAGGUAACGGCUCACCAAGGCAAAGAUGGCUAGCUGGUCUGAGAGGAUGGCCAGCCACACUGGGACUGAGACACGGCCCAGACUCCUACGGGAGGCAGCAGUGGGGAAUAUUGGACAAUGGGGCAACCCUGAUCCAGCGACGCCGCGUGGGUGAAGAAGGCCUGCGGGUUGUAAAGCCCUUUCGGGUGGGGAAGAAAAGUCUCGACCUAAUACGUCGGGACCUUGACGUAACCACUAAAGAAGCACCGGCUAACUCUGUGCCACCAGCCG